rnacentral:rRNA from 1 species
CGCGUAGGCGGGUUAAUAAGUCAGAUGUGAAAGCCCGGAGCUCAACUCCGGAACAGCAUUUGAAACUGUUAGUCUAGAGGGUAGGCGGAGAAAAUAGAAUUCCACAAGUAGCGGUGAAAUGCGUAGAUAUGUGGAAGAAUACCGGUGGCGAAGGCGAUUUUCUUAGCUUAUACCUGACGCUGAGGCGCGAAAGCAAGGGGAUCAAACA